GCCGGAGUGGUGGAAUUGGCAGACACGAGGGAUUCAAAAUCCCUUGGGGAUAACUCCCUGUGCGGGUUCGAGUCCCGCCUCCGGCA
rnacentral:tRNA from 2 species